AAUUGAACAUGUCCUAUUCUUGUCCGCAAUAGCGGACAAAAAUAGGCAUUUUCUAUUAUAGUGCCGGCCAUGUGCACAUGGCCGAUGUCAAUGUUUUGCGCAUCCGCAAAACACUUACAGACGUGUGAAUGGACCCUAAAGCAUAUUUAAAAGCAAACAAGAUAAGAGAGAAAACGUUCAUAAAGCAUCUUAAUGCUUAAGUCAUAUAAGGCGGUCUGUAACAGUUUAAUAUACACAAACUAAAAGAACACAUAGAAGUGUCUACUAUUCACAUGCAGCAGAUUUGCUGCAGAAUUUUCUGCAGCUAUCCCAUUAUUCUGAAUGGGGCUUGCAGAAGUCCACAUGCUUUCUAGCAAAUUAAUUCCAUUCUGAAACGAAUUUUCAGUCACAUAAAUUUCAAACAAAUCUGCCCUGUUUGAAUACGGUAUAUGUAACAUUGUCUACAAAAGGGUCAUAGCCCAUUGAAUCCAAUAGCAAUUUGAGCAAGUCAGCUACUUGUAAUAUAAAGCAGGACACCUUGGCAAUAACAGAAAAUAAUACCAAUAUUUUAAUGCUUUUUGCUUGUUAUAAUUUUAUAGGAGUUCUGCACAGCUCAGUAACCUGCAAAUUGAGCAGUGUGUCUUCUACCGUGGUUAUUUUUGCAAUAUGUUAUAUGUUGCAUUCUUGCUUUGCAGGAGAAAUGCCAGUCUAAUGUUCUGUACAAUCCAUUAUAGUUAGCAGAUAAAUAUAUCUGAGGACCAAGCUUCCUGUACCGUACAAAAAAAGUCCAAAAAAAGAGUAAAGCACUUUAUCAUUGAAUGAUCUGGUAUUAUUUGGUCUGUAGACUGUCCUAGUAUAAGAACCCUAGUUAUGAGAUAUAGAGUGGUUGAUCUAUGGAAAUAGGUGAAUGGAUAGGAUUACUCUCAUGUCAGCCAAUAUGAGACACCUGUCACAGAUGGUAAAAAUGAUUACUAGAGAUUGACAAAAAAAUAUGCCAAGUGCUAGUGACUGGUGACUAGUACAUUGGUAGGCAGAAUGCUAGGAGGGGUGUUUAGGGCUAUGGUGCGGUUAGGAGGUUAGUUUCCACCUAAUGGGACCACCGGGACAGCUUAAAGUGUAAUUUUCAUUUUUUAGUUUUUUUUUGUAAUGUAUAGUGGCAGUGAUACUGACCAUUUUUGUAAUAUACUUUAAUUACUGAAAUCAUCCAUUUCUAUUAAAAAAAUAGCUCUGUAGUCCAUUUUGAGCCUUAGUGACGCUCCUCUGUCUUCUAUUUACAUACCACAGUCAGUGUAACGCAAGUCAGAGGACAGAGGAGUGUUGCUGCUAAGGCUCAAAACGGGCCACUUUAGAGCUGUUUAUCUAAUAGAAAUUUACUAUUUCAGUAAUUAAAGUAUAUUACAAAAAUGGUAAGUAUCACUGCCCCUUUACAUUACAAAAAUAAAAAAAGAAUGAGAGUUACACUCUAAAUGCCACAUCCGUCUAUUAGGUUACAUGGUUCACAAACAUCAUCUAUUUCAAAGUCUCUUCAAAAAAAAUUUAAUUGGUGUCUAAACUGUUCCUCCUACCUAGCCCAUAUUACAAAGUUUAGUGAAGGUCUACAAUGGCCAAUAAUUACCAAUCCAUGUAAUGUUUAUGGAUUUACAAUAGAUUGAUGACAUAAGAUCAGCGUCAUUAAUGUGGACUCUAAGUACAUUCCUAUGUUUUUUAACCAUUAUGAAAUAUGUUGGUCAUACACUGGUAAAGAUCACUAUGUCAAUGUCAUCUUUAAACACACAUUCAAAUGUUUCAUUGCUCCAAUGCAUCUACAUCUACAGGGAGUGGGGUAACACAUGACUGCAGGACACGACUACAAAAGGGUUUGUAGUCUGUAGACUCCUAGAUGCGUAGGAGCAAUUCACACCACAUGGUGGGGUAUUUUACACAUGCCACACGUUCCUUGACCAUGGCUCAUAGACUAUUGACAUUACCUUUAAUACCUAAUCUGUGGGAAUAGUCAAUAGCAGGCACUGAUUUUAUUUCUACUGGUACAAGGACUUGCAGAGAAAGCUUAGAUGGUGUCUCCUACAUAUUAAUAUAUAUUAUAGCUGCUCUUUGACCUCGCUAUACGUUUUCUGCACUUGCAUGGCGAUAAUGACGUGCUUGCAAACAUUCCUGCAAUGACUUUAUUGAUUACAUCGCCAAGACUGACAGAAAUGAUGGCAUCUUAUAAUACUUCUUGAGUGGAUCAUUAGCUGCACAUCAUUAUGUGAACAACUAGCAGUGGGAAUGCUAUUAAUGCUAAAAAAAACUAAAAACAAUUAUAUUUUUAUCAUACAACUGGGCAUUAUGUCACCUCCUGCUUUCACCACUGACGAUGGGAGGCAUAUAUAUUUGAUCAGAUCAGUGUGACGUUAUAUUUCAGUCUACUAAAAUGUAUUAAAUUUAUCUUCCAGCUGAUUCAAGCAGCAAAAAAUCUGCAGGUUACACGUGUCUGGCUCCCCAUCUAUCAGUCAUUCCAUAGAUUUCUAGUGUUGCACAUCUCUGAAGUCAUAGGGGGAACAUACAGCGCUUGACAUUUUGAAGCUACGAUUUCUGAGUCAACCUGUUUGCUCAGUAACCAGGGAAGGGAUACACUCAGUGAUCUAUGUUAAUAAAUAAAUACAAUUAGGCGCCAGCAGUAAAAUGUUUGGCGCCCGCACUCCAGGGAGUAGAUCAACCUUGUUUCAACUUUCCCACUGUGGGUCAUUAAAGUCUAUCAUGAGCAGACUCCCUUUAUCAUUUGGACAUAGAUAAACCAUCUCGCACUGUUUUACAAGUUGAUGCAUGUGUCCCUAGGAGGUACUUGGAUAAAACUAGAAGAGGCUAUAAACACUGCAAUGACGUGCGGCAAGUAACUGCGCUGUAAUAGCCAGAGACGAGCAUGUUUCUGCUCUGCAGCAUCACUUCUUGGUUAGAAACCCUGCCAGGUUAUUUCCCAGAUAACAAAAUGUUCUCCUCAAAAUAUCUGUCUCUAUAAGCAUACCUAAAAAGGUCACAGAGAGAAACCAGAAGGAUAUUGAUGAACUUAAAUCACGGCCGUGUUAUGUUUUCUAGUUACUAGGCAGUCGCAGAGAAUCUAAAAGGCACUAUCUUGACUGUGCACAGUGCAGAGCAUAGGGUCUUCCUCCAAAGUACCGUAUCUUCCUUGGCUUUUCUUGUAAUGCUUAUUUCGAAGUCCUAGUUCAAGUAUUACAGUUAGGGCGCAUGCACAUGACUGUAUUGUGGUUGCGGGUUGUACAGAGCUGUAAUGGCACCUAUAGAAUUUUAUAGUGCCAUACUAUAUCUCUGUUCAGGUUUCCUGUGGUGGCAUGCUCCAUCAUAUGGUAUAUUACAGGUGUGUUCUCCACCCCAUACACAUCUCUGCCUAAAAGCAUUGCACCAUAAAAAUCCCAUGGAGUGCCUUUGGCUCUGUUAUACGGAGCUACAGGUCACCCUACAGCCACCCGAAACACAUCUCUGCCUAAAAGCAUUGCACCAUAAAAAUCCCAUAGAGUGCCUUUGGCUCUGUUAUACGGAGCUACAGGUCACCCUACAGCCACCCUAUACACAUCUCUGCCAUGUGCAUGAAACCUUAUAGAAGAAGAAAAUAAAUUGCAGUCUGUAGUUUGCUUAAAGUACAAUGUGACACAACUGAUAUCAAUAGAUUCACACUUCGUUCCCAAAAAUAAAAACUAAAUUAACAUUUGCUGGCAAAUAUAUAUACCAACGAAUAAUGAGACCAAUAUAGCUAAGGGGCUGUUCACAUCUCGGAUGGAAAUGUAAGACAUUACGUUUCCAUCAAUUAAAUGUAACCCUUUUUUCUUAGAGGAUGUCUUCAAAUCUUCAUUUGAAACAAUAUGUAUGUAUAUCUGUAAACGUAUAAACUAAACAAAAAUAAAUAAAUAACCGUGAAAUUGUA